rnacentral:lncRNA from 1 species
UUCAACAUCAGAUUCAAGCAUCUUCAAAACUUUACUCAUUGAAGGACGAUCAAAAGGCAGUAAUUGUAUACACCAAAAGGCUGUUAUUACCAUUUUCUUUACCAUUGCUUUUUCAUCGUCAGAAACAUCUCCCAACUCCAAGUCCUCUCCUUGAUCUAAUCGGUCAUAAAUCCAAGAUGGAAAAUAGAUCUGACUAGUGUGGUCAGCAAAUGCAUUCACAUUCUUUCUCCUUCCAACCAUUUCCAUCAGUAACAUUCCAAAACUAUAAACAUCAGCUUUGUAUGAGAUGCCUCCAAGAUUUUUGUAAACCAAUUCUGGAGCAAUAUAUCCUAUCGUUCCUCGUGCCGCAGUGAGAGAGACAAUGCUAUCAUCUACUGAAUACAAUUUAGCAAGACCAAAAUCGGAAACUUUUGGAUUAAAAUUCUCAUCAAGAAGAAUAUUGUGUGGCUUGAUAUCAAAAUGUAGAAUUUGCAUGUCACAUCCUUGAUGUAAGUAGUGAAUUCCUUGAGCCACCCCAAGUACAAUAUCAAACAUUUUUUUCCAGCCCAAAGUGUUCUUAUUUUCUUCUGUAAAUAUGAUUUUAUCUAAAGAUCCAUUAGACAUGAAGUCAUAUACUAGAGCUUGCUUUGAUCCCUCCACACAAAAUCCGAUAAGUUUUGCCACAUUAGCAUGAUGAAUUGUCCCAAUGGAAGCAACUUCGUUUAUGAAAUCUUGGCCAUUACCUUUUGAUUUGCCCAACAAUUUUAUUGCCACAUGAUGGCCGCUACGAAGCUUUCCUUUAAACACUGAGCCAUAACCCCCUUCACCUAAUUUAUCUUUAAAAUUUUUAGUCAUUUUUUUAAUUUCUUUAAAAGAAUACCUUAAUGGCACUAGAUUAUUUUGGCUUUUAAGGAACUCUUCGAUCAUAUCAUCCAUGGAUAAAUGUCUUCUCCUCCAUUUGUACGUGACAAAAGCAAGCAAACAAAUGAUCCCAGGAAAUGACCUCAAGAUAACUCCACCUUUAAAGAAAUACAAUGUAACAUGUUGAAAUUAAUCACAUAAUAUAUAACUUACAUUCUCAGAAAAAAGGAUAUAGUGUGAUAGUUUUAUGUUAACUAGUAUUUGAGAGAGUGGCAUAUUUCACUAGUCUAUGGACUUAACCGAGAGUAGUCUGAAUUAUAUGCAUUGUUUUUGUCAUUAGCAGGUAUAUCUCAACAAAUUAAAAUUCAGAAUUUGAAACACAAAAGGAGUAAAUCAUGCAAAGUGGAUGCCAAUUAUUCUAACCUCACACAUUCCAAUAGAUUUGACAGGGUCAUGACAUUCACCCAAAUUAACACAUUCGUAACCCCAUCCAAUUAGCAAAUUCUAAAGAAAGAACAUGAUUCUUAACCAUGAAGGAUACUCAACUGUUGUUUCUAUUCAUGCCAAAUAAAAUUGAAGAAGGACAAAUUAAAAAUAUAAUAACCUUCAAAUUUCAUAAAUGAAACAAAAUCUAGAACCACCAAAAGAUGCAAGAGAACCCCCCAAAAAACAGAUUUGAUAAAUUCAAGAGCUAACUUUGUUGAAUGUUUUAGCAAAAUGAAUAUCCACCAAACUUAUAACCUGUGAAAGUUCUAAACAAUACCAUUAUGAAAACAAGCUUAACUAAAACUCUAACAUCUUUCUUAACUUGACAAAAAAUUUCUUUCAUAUAGAAGAAGAUUGUAUUCUGCAUUCAAACUCCGUAAAGAGUGUCAUAGCUUUCUUAGUUUUGUAGUGAAAUUAAAUAUAAACUUGUAUAAUAUGAUAGGCUCCUUAUUCUUUUUUUCCCCCAGAAUAUAGCUAAUAUUUGUUCUCAACUAGUGCAAAUGCAAAUCUGCAAAUCUAAAAUUAAAUAUACCUGUUAUUAGCAAACAGAGACGAUAAGCUCCGAAGAAUCUGGAUUAUAUAUUCAACAAAUCAAAGUAAAAUUAAUAAAGGGGUGUAAAGAAAAAUUCCAAAUUUGUAUAAAAAAAUCAAUGGAAGGUAAUUUAAAAAAUUAUAUUAUGUUUUGUGGUAUAUACUCAAAAAAGAAAUACAACAAUUCUUUACAUAUGUUUGCUUGUAAAAAGUAUGCAACAUGUGUUACAGUAUAAGAGUUUUUAGGUAACUAAUAUGAUUUAAUAUAAUGAAAGGUGAGACAAAAUUUAUUCAAAUUAAUUAAUCCAAAAAGUAUAUAUUAUAGCAUUAAAAGAGUUUUUGCCAAAAAAAAUAAACUCAUCCACAAUGGUGGAAUAUUUACGUACUACCAACUAAAUUGAAAAUUCAUCAAAAAUAAAGACAAAAUAAAAAGAUAGACAUAAUCAAAUAUAAUUGUCCAAAAAGAAGACAAAACAGCAGAGAAAGCAGAGGCAGAUACUAAAUUAGAAAUGCUUUUAGUUCAUUUGAUUGUUAGAUGUUGAUCAAUUUUAGAUGCAAAAUCAUCAUACUUAAUUACCAUCAUAAUAUUUAAUUGUGAUAAAUGUAACAUAAAAUAAAACAAAACAAAAAGUAGAUGUUGUAACUAAAAAUUCCAGUAUGAUUCACACUCAAAAUGCAAACUUAAAUUAUUAAAGAAACUUACAUAUCUUUAAACCAAACUUUGUUUUUAUUGUAGUAGCUACUCUCGCUAUCCCAUCAACUCCAUUGGACCCAAAAACCCUCCAAUAAUUUUUUGUAUAUAUCCAGCGUAGACAUGCCUAUUAUAUUAUCAAUCAUAAUUGGAACCUCCGCUUUGAUAGUGCAAGCUUGAUUGAUAUCAGAUGGGUGGGUGUUUCCAUUUAAAAAAUAGAAAUAGAAAGUUGGAAGGGAAGAGGAGGUAUUAGAUUUAAUCGUACAACAAGAAGCCUCAAUAAAAAGUGAUGAUUUUAUAGGUUUCGUGCAAUUCAUAACAUAAAUAAUGUUAAAAUUAUAAGAAAAAUAAUAAUGAUAAUUAGAAAAAAGGUAAAAAUAUGGUUUAAAAUAAGGAUAAGUAUCAUAAUAAUCAGGAUAUACAGAAGUAAGAGGAAGGGAGUUGCAAUCAUCCGUGUCCAAGCUUGCAUCCACCAUUCGUAUUGUAUAAUUUUCGUAAAAGAUUUGUUGGACAGAUAAUUUCCCUCCUCUCCCAACCAAAGUGGUGCGAUUAUUGUUCUCACACUCAAGUUCCAUGACAGGAGAACCACAGUGGGGAGGUUGGUUUUUUAAUCGGAAUGGAAAACUGAUAUUCAAAUUCCCACAGAAAGUAGAGCCGCAGUCUUGGUUAAUAAGACUCCUAGCAAAACAAACAGCAGGAAAUAGAAUUACAAAUAAAGCAACAGAGGGCAUUAGGUGACCCAACAAUGGCAGUUUUGCUUUUAAUUUUGGCAUGCUAAAAUUUUGGGUAAGGAAGAAGAACAGUAAUGGGGGGUUAAUGAUUAAGUUUCUAACUAAACCAGGGAAAUAUAUAAGAAAGCUUCAGUGGGAGAAGAAGCAUUAAUGGGGACACAAGACUUUGACUACUCUUCAGCUUUAUUUGGGAUGAAUAUUUUAUUUUCAAUAAAUUGUUUACACCUUUUAUUCUUUAAUCUUUUUUCUGGGAAGAGCCAUGGUUAUCACAAGCAAAAGAAAAAGGAAUUUUAAUAUUAUUCAAAAAAAAAAAAAAUUGGACCAUAUGCUUGUAGUCGUAGAUCAACGUUUAUGACCUUAAUAAAUUCCAAUUACAAUGAGGAGGACCAAGACAAUGCAAGUCUUUAGUCUUCUUUGAAACACAAAAACAUUUGUUGCAUCUUUUGUAACUAUUUGUUGCAUCAUUCUAAAAAGUAAGUUAAUAGUUAGAAGUGUCAAGCAAGGCGACUCAAUGCCCAAUUGUAUAGAUUCUUUUUAUUUUAUUCCACGAAUACUUCACUACUUUUCAAAUAAUUACAUGAAUUUAAAAUAAAACAAAUUAAAUAUAAGAUAUAAUUUCUAUUUAUUUAAGUUUAAAUUCAAAACUAAAUUCUAUUUCUAAAUUUUAAUUAUCCAAAAUUAAUUUAAAAACUUAAAUUUAAAAAUACAUUAAGAGACUUCAAAUUCCGUUUUAUUUUAAAUGAAAUCGGUUUAGUAAAGAGGUGACUAUGGAUCAAGUCAAGCCGAAUCGAAGUUCAGUUUCAAAAAAUUCCAAGUCCUAGAGCCUAUUUUUGAUCCAACUCACCCAAAAGCUCGUUUUCUAUUUGAAAAUAUUAAAAAUAUUUUUAAUUGAUAUUUUACAUAUUUUUAUAAUUAAAUUUAAAUUUUAAUAAAAAUUAUUAUUUAAAUUAAACUAUAAAAAUAUUUAUCCAAAUCUGACCCAAAUCGAAUUAGGCCGGGUGGGCGAUCCGAUCAUGACAGGAAAGGAGAAACAAGAAAGACGAAGCCUAAACAGGCAGUAAAUUCAUUUUAAUUCUACAUACAUUCCAUAUUAUUAUUUAGGGAUAAUAUAGUUUUUGACCCUAAUCUUGAUAGUUAAGUGGACUUUAGUACAUAUAUCUUUUUUGUUCUACUUUGACACUCGAACUUCAAAUAUUUUGGUUCCUAAACUUGAAAAAUAUAAAAGUUUUAUGAUGCAACUCUGUAAGAUUGUGUUACAUCAUCACUUAAAAAUUAAAAAAAUAUAUAAAUAUUUUUAAUUAAUAUUUUAUAUAUCUCUAUAAUUAAAUUUAAAUUUAAAAAAUAUUUUUUAUUAUUUAAAUUCAACUCAGAUUAAAUCAAAAUAAAAUGUAAAAAUACUUAUUCAAAUCUGACCCAAAUUGAGUUGGGCCGGGCAGGCUACCCAGUCAUCUCAAGUCUACUUUAGCACAGGUAAGUAAAGUUGAAUCAUUAGAUUGGGAUAUAUGUGUGCUUCGGGUAAAUACUUAUUUGGGCUGAAUUAUUUGGACUUCAAUUAUGAAUUUAAUUUUUUACUAAUAUGUGUGAGAAGCCCAUUCUUUUAUGAAUUUUGGGCCACUUCGGUUUCGUCUUCAGGAAUUAAACAUUCAUAAAAAUCUAAAAAAAUUUAUUAAAUUAUUAUUUAUUAAUUAAACCAGUUGAUUAUUCAAUCGGUUUGACCACUAGUUCUUGAUUCAACUCAUUUGAUCGGUUCAACUACCCAACUAACAAUAAUUAAAUGAAUGAUUCAACAUCCAUAAAAAUCUAAAAAAGAAUAUUAAAUCGAUUACAUAUGUUCAAUAGCCAAGUUUUUUUUUUACUAAUUUCAAACAAUUUUUUUAAUUUAAUUGAUUCAACCAUUUUGUUCAAACUAGGGUGUUCGCAAAAGUCUCGACUCUCCUAAAAUGGAAAAGUUUUUAUUUAAGUCAUUUAAAAUUUUUAAAAUUUUAAAUUAAUAAAGGUAAAUUACACUUUGGCCCCAUAAAAAUAUAAAAAUUUGAUUUAAUCCUUUAAAAAUUAUAAAGAUAUAGGCUAUUAAAAUGGUGAAAUUAUAUUUUUACUUCGUAAAAAUUACAAUUUAAUUUCGACUCCCUUUUUUUUUUUUGAUUUCGCCCCUAAUUCAAACCAUUAUACCGGUUGGUUCUUAGUCCAAUCAAUCCAACCAACCAAUCCACUACUAUUUCAGUAAAAUUGGUCAUAUCAUCAAAUCUUGAUAGAAUCCAAAUUUAAAGGACCAAAAUAGAUCUAAUUGUCAAACUCAAAUACCAAAAUGGAUCUAACUUAAAAGCAAUAUUGAAACAUGUCUUUCUUGUUUUCUCCGUCUCUUAAAACCCCCUGACCUUUGUUUUUUUUUUUUUUUAGUCUUUGAGUUCCUUAGAGAGUUGGUUCAUAUUUUAGGAUAUUGUUUCAUGCUUUUGGCUUGCGAGUUCUUUGUAUUGUAAUGGUAUUUUUUGUAUUAGUGUGAGGAGUAUUGUGGUGUUAUUUUGCUAUCCAUUGAUUCGUUUUGGGUGAAGGUUUUAUUUUGAGCCUUUGUGUUUGUAUGGGAUACCUUAUCUUCGAGUUCUGGGUUUUUCUUUAAUAUAUUUCUAUCGGUUCGAAAAAGAUGGAAGUCUAGAUUUGAUUUGGAGAUAAAAUUGUGUUUUAAUUUUUGUGUACUUUCCUGAUUUUUCUAAAUAAUAUUUUUUUCUGCUUCAAUCCAACUACAAUACUUGCAUUAUAAACAACUAUUUCAUUGAAUUUCUUUUUUAUUUUAAAAAUACUUUUUAAACUGUUUUUUUUCUAGAGAUUCUCUAAAAUUUUCUAUUAAAAACUUUAUAUAUUUGGUAAAAGGAUUAAAGAAGUUCCUGUACUUAGUGAUGGAUUGCAUUUCAACCCUUUUAUCGAAAAAAAUUGACAAAUUAAUUUUUAUACAUUUCAAAACAUACAAAUUUGUCGCUUCGUUAAAAUUUUUCUACAUUUUAACCUAUUCAUCAUUUCCUUUGCAGAAAAAUAGUUGAUAUACCAUUAGAACAUGAGCCUCAAACAUUAUAAAUGAAUAAUAAUACCUCGGUCUAUGAAGAAGUUAUGUUACAUUUGAUGGAAUAUCAAAGGAAAAUUUUUCGUUUAUUUUAAAAAGAUUUUAUUCAAUUUUCUAAUUGUAUAUAUAAUUGAUAUUAAUUAUUUUUUAUUUUAAGUUUAAUUAUUUUAAAACAUAUUUAUUAAAUAACUUUUUUUGGUGUUAUUAAUUAAACAUCAAAUGCAGCAUUAAUAUUGUAAGUCUUCCGUUAUUUAAUAUUUAAAUAAUAUGAAAUUGAACAUUUAAACGUAAAAUAUAAAAUUAUUCUUAAUAAUUUAUAAUAAAGGGAAUAAUAAAACAGAUGAUUAGAUGAAAUCAAGAAUCAGGUUAAAUUCACACCUGACCAUGGAAAUAUUUGUGUCGAUAUGAUUUAUAAACAGGGUUUAGCCAUGAUACUUUUCUGUGAGAGGCAAAAUCAAAAUUUUUCUUUUCACUUAAAAACUUAAUAUUUUAAUUUUUCCUCAAUUUUGUCCAUUCAAACAUGUUAAGACUGUAUGGUUUGAUUUACCUGUUGGUACGUAAGCUUAUUCAUGCAAAAGUGUCCUUUUAUCAAUUAAAAAGAACAGCAAUAAGGUAAAACGUCAGUUUUUAAUAGAGUCUGACUGCGUCGUCGGCAAAUGAGUGUAGAAUCUUUUACGGUAAGCAAAAGCAUGCUAUCCUAUUUUCCUCCAAUAGCAUAUUUAUUUAUCAUUAAUAAUUACUUUCAUUUUAAUUGUAAUAAAAAUUUAUGACAUAAUUCAUCGUUUACAAACACCAUCUUCAUAUAAUAUUUAAAUUUUCUUUUAGAUAAUUUAUGAUUAUAAUUCUUGAACACAUAUGACAUAAUGGAUGAUUAUUUGGUAUAGCUGAUAGUAAAUUUUUAAUUUCAUAAAUAGAUUUGAAAGUUUGAUAUAUAUUUUAAGUUGUAUUUAAAAAAAAUAGGAUAUAUGAAAAUUUUUCAAUCUCGCUUAUUGAGUUAAUUAAUAAUCCAUAAAAAAAUAUUACUUUGUAUGUUUUAAUUCUUAAUUAAUUUUAGAUAUUUGACUUCUAUUAAUUUAAAUGUUUUAAUGUUUUUUUUGAAUUAAAAAAAGUGUGUAUUUAAUUCUUCAUAAAACAAAUUAUUUGUAAAUAAUCAUAAAUCGGUAUAAGAAGAUCAAACCUAAUAUAUCAAAGCAACUAAUAGCGGAUUGAUUGUUUGAUUUCAAAUGUUUAAAUUUGAUAAUCAAUCAAUUUAAAGAUACAAUGAGAUGUAAUUUUGUAAAUUAGAUAUCUCAAUCUUAGUAUUAAAUGAUUGAUGACUCUAAGCUACUUAAAAACAAGAAGACAAUCAAUCUUCACUUUAAUUUAUAUGAUCCAAAGUUCUUAACACCAUUUCAAAGAACCGUUCAGAAAUUAUAGAUACAAGAUCUAAUCAAAACAUCAAGUAACGGCCAAAUCAAAACCCACCAAAGAGAUAUCCAAAGUCUCAAAUCUGGAAUUAAAGGUCAACGUAACCACAUCAUACAAAGAAAUGCUCCCACCACUCCACUUCGGGACAUGUACAAAAUCUGAUUUCUUCGAUCACUACUUGAAAGAGUUGAUAAUUCUCAUAUUUAGAAUUAUUUUAAUUUAGUUUUUAUAGUAUUUUAGGAGUAAAAUCUUUUUUAUUAUAGUUUAUAGUUUUUGAAAUUAAUUAGAUUUUAUUUAAUUUUCCGGAUUUAUUAGCUAUAUUUUUCUCCAUUGUAAAUUUGAGAUAAAAAAAAUGAAAGAGUUGAAAUAUAAAGUAAGAAAGGAUGAAAUCUUCUACUCCACUUGAUCAACUUUACAGUGAACAUAUUUUUAAAUUCAGAAAUUUUGAUAGCAAUUAUUCCUUCUACCAUAAUUUUUUAUUUGGUGGAGCUCCUAAUAAAAGUCAAAAAGAAAAAAAAAGUAUGGGUUUGACCAAUAUUUUAUGGUUCAUUUUUUAUAUAUUUACUCUAAUCUCUGUUUCUAAAAAAUAUCUUAAAACAUUGAAAAAAUAUAUAGUUUAAUUAGCAACAAAUACGCGUUUUUUAUUCUCAAAUUAUUGGUCCAAUCGGUUGAUUUAGUUAGAGAUUCAAAUAUUAUUUAUGAUUUUAAUAUAAAAUAUGAGAAAUGAUGUUCACAUUUCAAAUGAUGUUCAAAUUGAUGGAAACAGUCAAAAAAGAAAAAAUCCUGAGAUGUCAAGUUUACAUUUUAAAACUGGAAGAAAGAAAUCCUCAAAGCAAAUUGGAGGGGCUGCAAGAUUGUCCAGUCAAAUAGAAAAACUAUGCAAUGCAGCUGACAAUAUGAGUCAAGCCACAUCUAGUUUGACUCCUGUUAUGGAUCCAUAUGGUAUUCCACAAGCAGUCAAAAUGCUUGACAGCAUGUCGGAAGAAGUUCCAGAAGCUAGUCCGCUAUACUUUUUCGCACUUAGAUUAUUGCUCAAUAAGGACAAGCGAAUUAUGUUUUUAUCAAUUAAUCCUAAUAUUAGAGCUUUGUGGCUUAAGACGGAAAUGGAGGAUAGUUGAAAAUUUUUUGAUCUUCUAGGGUUUAAAGAUAUCUAUUUAUGUGUAAUCUUCUAGUUAUAAUGGCUUAAGCGAAUUAUGUUUUUAUCAAUAGUUAUUUAUGUUUAGUUUUUGGAUAUUGAAUUUAUGUGCGAAUUAUGCUUUUGGAUAUUGAAUUUAUGUGUAAUCAAUUAUGUUUUAUUAAUAGUUGUUUAUGUUUGGUCUUUAGAUAUUGAAUUUAUGUUCCACUUAUUUUUUAUUAAAUUAAUUUUAUUAAUGGUUGUUUAUAUGUGAUUUUGGAUAUAAAAUUUAUUCACAGGUGAUGAGUAUAGUUGAGGAUUAUAGCAGUGAUGAAAGUGAUGAUCAAAGGGAAAAGAAAGAGAUGUUACAACGCAUGGAAUGUUUUAACCGAAUAUUUGUUGUUGCAUCUUCUUCCAUGCAAUUAUAUUACGAGAAGUAUAUAUUGAGGCAACCAUGCAUGGAUUCAAAACAGUCAGGUGAGACAUGGAUCCGAGAGAUCCUUGACGGUCACGAAUCACGUUGUAUGAUUAAUUUUAAGAUGUCUAAAAUGGUAUUCACAAGUUUGUUGAGAGUUUUGGAGACAAGAUACAACUUGCAAACUUCAAGAAACAUAUCUUCUACUGAAAUGUUGGGAAUUUUUUUAUACAUCUUGGGCACCGGUGCAAAAGUUUCCCAAUGUCGAGAAAGAUUUCAAAGGUCUGGAUCAACAAUAAGUCGAUACUUUGCAGUUGUGCUUGAGAAAGUUUCAAGGAUGGCCAUUGAUCUAAUUGCACCUGAAGAUCCUUUUUUUAGCUCAAUACCCGAACAAAUACAUAAUGAUUCUAGAUAUAUGCCGCAUUUUAAGGUUAAAAUUUAAUUUCAUAUUAUUAUAUUUUAAUAUAUUUGGUCGACUAAAAAUAUGCACGAGAGUAAUAUGAUUAUUUGUUCAGGAUUGUAUAGGUGCAAUUGAUGGUACUCACAUUGCGGCUAUUCUUCCACCAAAUGAACAAAUUCCCUAUAUUGGAAGAAAAGGUAUCCCGACUCAAAAUGUUAUGGCAGUAUGUGAUUUUAAUAUGUGUUUCACAUUUGUCAUGGCUGGAUGGGAAGGAUCGACACAUGACACUAGAAUAUUUCUUGAUGCAAUUCGAGAUCUAAAAUACAAAUUUCCGCACCCUCCAAAUGGUUAGAUAUUUUAUUUAUAUGUGAUUUUUUAAAUAAUAAAGUAAGUUCUUUAAUUGAUUUUUUAUUAAAAAAAUUCUUGAAUUAAUUGUUUGUUAUAUUAUGACUUGUAGAAAAAUAUUAUCUUGUUGAUUCUGGAUAUCCUCAAAUGAAAGGUUAUCUUGGACCAUAUAGAGGUCAACGAUAUCAUUUACCUGACUUCCGAAGAGGUAGACCGAUUUCUGGUAAAGAAGAGAUAUUCAAUCAUUCACAUUCAUCAUUACGUAGUGUGAUUUAACAAACUUUUGGUGUUUUAAAAAAAAUGGGCCAUUUUAAGGGAUAUGCCAAGUUAUAGUUUUGAAAAGCAAACGGUGAUCGUUGUUGCUAUAAUGACGAUACACAAUUUUAUCCGAAAACAUGUUGGUCAAAAUGAUGUAGAUUUUAUGGAAUACGAAGAUAUUAACUCGGCAUAUGAGAAUAGUAUUGAUUCAGAAAAUGCGCAUGGGCCACAAAGUGAUGAUGAUGACGACGACGACGACGAUGAUAGUAAUGAUGAUGGUGAAUCAAACAUUUUUAGUGGUUUUGAAAUGGAAUUAACAAGAGAUGCUAUAGUUUCUAGUUUAAUGAAUUCAAUUUAAAUUGUAAAUGCUAUUGUAAAAUUUUUAGUAUUUAUAUCUGAUAUAUAAAUAUUAUCCCCUUUUUAAAACUUCAAUCCAAAUAUAUCUAAUAUUUUAAUUUGUUAAGUUUAUGUUUUCUAUGUUAUAUUAAUAUCUAAUAUGAGUUAUAUAUUCAAAUAUAUUUUAAAAUAAAAUAAUACAAGCGUGUUAAAAGUAUUAAUUAAAAAUAAAAAAUAAUUUUUAUAAUAAUACAAUCGUGUCAAUAUCUAAUUACAAAUAUUUAAAUAUUUAAAUAUAGUUUAUAUAUUCUAAUUAAAUUUUAUAAAUAAUUAAUAUUAAUUACUUAGAAAUAUUUAAAAUUAAUAUUAUAUAUUAAAAUAUUAACAAUAAGUUAUAAUAAAUUAUUUUUUUAUAUUUUUGCUAAAAUAUCAUAAUAUUAACUAAUUUGAACAUUAUUUAAAAACAUAUUUGUUACUUUAUAAUCUCAUGUCUAAAAUGGACAUUUUAUUCUUCAAAAAUACUUUUUAACACUAAUAGCAAACACUCAAAUUUUUCAAAAGCACUUCUUAAAAAUAAUUCUCAAAAGCAUUUCUCAAAAGUAACGAAAAACUAGCCCUUAACGCCCCGUUCUUCUGCACGUUUUAGAAGUGCUUUUGGCUGAAAAAUCCUUUUCCUUUAAAAGGAAUGAAGAACAGCCUCCUUUUCUUCUGAAAAUUUCACCAUCAGAAAAGGACUUCUCUCCAGAUGAAAAGUUAAAAUUUCUCUUUUUUUUCAGCUUAAAGUGCUUUUGGCUGAAAAUUGACCAAAUUAACCUAUCGUCUUCUCCCACAAACUUUCUUUCCCCUCCUCUGCUGGUUCUUUGGAACUGUCUUCUCCCACAAACGUGCUUUUGGCUGAAAAGAACAGAAAUUUGAUUUCUCAAAUUUUUCCACAAACGUGCUUUGGAACUGUCUUCUCCCACAAACGCUCUCCCACUCCCGCGACGGGGCGCUGUCAAUCGGCUGUGCUUCAGGGUCGAAGGAAGCAUAUGGAAGGUCUCACUGUCUGCAUGCUCGAUCUCCACAUUCCCUUCCCGAGUAUCUCUCUUUCUUCAUAUCUUUUUUUUUGUGCGGCUUCGUGGUUUUAUUAGAAUGCGUUCAUAGGGGAAUUAGUCUUACGAUUAAUAUUUUCUCUUGUAAAAAGGAUAAAUUGAUGUUGCAAUUUAAUGACAGUUUUUAUGCUAUGGAUUGAGAAUGAGAUUCUAGGGUUUUUCAUUGAAUGAAUUUGCUUUUGGUUGUUUUAUUAACAAACUUCAUCGCUUCGCUUAAGAAAAAAAAAAUCCUUCUUUUAAGAUUGAAUUUAUGAAGUUUUAUCGGUUAAUUAAAUGCUUAGCUCUUUUCUAAUGACUGUAACCAAUGUAGCAAUGAUAUUAAAGAAGGUUUAGUUAUAAAAGUGGAGAGAUAUUAUGCUAAACCGAACUACUAACUUCAAUAGUUUACUUCUUAGUGUUCUUAUAGAGGCAAUUUUGUUUGAAAAGGAUCUUUCUAAACAAUGUAAGAUUUGGUAUUUUUGCUUAUUUUGUGAUGGUUGAAGAAGUUUGUGCGUAUCACUGAUUUAAUAACUUUGUCUAACGUCUCAUCCUAUGUUUUAUUUUUAAUACAUAAAUUUUUGAUACAUUGGAGCAGGCAAAAUUGGGGUUAAGGAAGUUUCAGUCGGAGUUGUUGCAGUUUUUGAUGGUCAUAAUGGUGCUGAAGCUAGUGAGAUGGCUUCAAAACUUUUACUGGAGUAUUUUGCUCUAUAUACAUAUUUCCUUUUGGAUGCAACUUUUUCCUUUGUAUUGAAGAAGCAGUCAAGUAGGUUGCCAAAUGUAGGAGAAGGGGAUAUUGUUUUCUGUUGCGGAAAGGAUCGAUUCGAGAACUCCGAUAUGACUACAAGUAAAUUGACCGAAACGAAAAAUAAAGUGAACACAAGGAUUUACGUGGUUCGGCUUUAAUGCCUACGUCCACGGGCAGAGGCGAAAAGAAAUUUCACUAUAACAAGAUGAAGAUUACAAGUGUUUUACACUCAAGACACAACCCGAGAACCUCACAACUCUCAACCCCUAUAGAAAACCCGAAAGCUAAAAUCCUAGCUUUCAAAGAACAAGCUUUGCUCUCUCUUGGUUUGGGAUGAUCAAUAUGGCUAAUGAACCUCUCUAUUUAUAAGAGAGUUCAAGGACAUAAUUGUCCAAAACUUUGGCAAAGAUUUGUGGUUGAAAAUGGACACCAACAACCAUCCACUAAUCCACUACCACCAACAACCCACUACCAACAACAACAAUCCACUACCAAUUUUAAGCCAUUUCUUAACAAAUCUCCACCUUGGCUUGAAAUUUACCAAGCUGAACAUCAUAGAAACUCCAAGCCAUUAUCCGUCCGGAAUCGCUUGAUCUUCUUUCCUGUUUGAUUUUCGAUCAAAGCUUUAAAUUGCUUGAAGUUGAUGAGAACCUCAUACUUGCUCUUCAGAAAAUACACCCAAACCUUUCUCGAGUAAUCAUCGAUAAAGGUAAGCAGAUAUCUGUAACCACCUUUAGAAAUUGUCGGAGAAGGCCCCCAAAGGUCAGAAUGGAAGUAAUCCACUGUGCCUUUUGUCUUGUGAAUCCCAGUGCUGAACUUUACCCGAGUCUGCUUACCGAAGACGCAGUGCUCACAGAAAUUCAACUUUCCUGUACACUGCCCAGACAAUAAUCCUCGUUUGCUUAGCACCGAUAAGCCUCUCUCGCUCAUAUGCCCGAGCCGCAUAUGCCAUAACUUCGUGGUGUCAGAAUCUAGAUCAUCUGAUGAUGACACUCCCGCAACACCUGUAACCGAGGAACCAUCGAGGAAGUAAAGGCCCCGCUCCAAAUUACCACGUAUCACAGUCAAAGCACCCGAGAAUACCUUGAGAACUCCACCUUCAGCAGAGUACCGAAAGCCUUUCUUGUCCAACGUACUCAAAGAGAUCAAAUUUUUCUUCAUUUCUGGAAUGUGCCGAACAUCAGUUAGAGUUCUAACAAUACCGUCAAACAUCUUUAUACGAACUGUGCCAAUCCCCAUGACUUGACAUGCGUGGUCAUUUCCCAUUAGUACUGAACCAGAAUGCUUCUCGUAUGUUGAGAAUGCAUCUUUCGAAGUACUUAUAUGAAAUGUAGCUCCCGUAUCAAGAAUCCAUCUCCCACCAGCGUAAGAGUCGGAUACUGCAAGAACGAUCUCGGCAUCACUUGAAGAAUCUGCAUCAGCUACAUUCGCACGAUCAUUUUGUUGCUCCUGUGAUUCUGAUUUCUCCUUCCUUUUCGGACAAUCUACCUUCAUGUGCCCGUACUUCUUACAGUAGUAGCACUGUAUUCUCUUCUUGGACUGCGAUCUAGGAUGGCUUUUACUUGAACUUCCACCCUUUGCCUUGGAUCUUCCUCGAGCAACCAAGCCUUCGCCUUCAUUGUUUUCGACCACCUUACCAGUGAUUUUCUUCCUCAACUCACUGGAACUUAAGGCAUUUUUCACCUCCUCUAGAGUCAGGUCAUCACGACCGUACAUCAUUGUAUCAACAAAAUUCUCAUACGAGGGAGGCAAAGAACACAAAACAAUUAUUGCUUGGUCCUCAUCAUCGAUUUUGUUAUCGAUAUUAUUCAAAUCCAUGAUAAUGGAAUUGAAUUUAUCCAGGUGCUGGGAAACAGGUGUACCUUCCUCCAUCUUCAGGGCAUAGAGUCUUUGCUUGAGGUAGAGCCGGUUCGUCAAUGACUUCGUCAUGUACUUGCUCUCUAACCGGAGCCACAAACCGGACGCGGUUUUCUCAUCCGCUACUUCUCGUAGCACUUCAUCUCCUAGACAUAGCAGAAUAGCACUAUGUGCUCUUUCUAGCAUGUCAUCCUUUUGCUCUUCCGAAAGCGUGCUUGGUAAUUUAUCUUUACCAGACAAUGCUUUUAGCAAUCCUUGUUGAACCAGCACUGCCCGCAUCUUGAUGCGCCAUAAACUGAAACUAUUUUUCCCGGUAAAUUUCUCGACAUCAUACUUAGUCGAUGAAACACUUGUAGCCAUAAUUUGGAACCUUUGAAUGAAUGAUAAUAUUUUCUUCCUGAUGUGAAAGAUCAGACAAAGCUGCAGUCACAGGGCAAUUCAGAAAAUAUUAUCACUCCUUCAACUACGCUCUGAUACCAAUUUGUUGCGGAAAGGAUCGAUUCGAGAACUCCGAUAUGACUACAAGUAAAUUGACCGAAACGAAAAAUAAAGUGAACACAAGGAUUUACGUGGUUCGGCUUUAAUGCCUACGUCCACGGGCAGAGGCGAAAAGAAAUUUCACUAUAACAAGAUGAAGAUUACAAGUGUUUUACACUCAAGACACAACCCGAGAACCUCACAACUCUCAACCCCUAUAGAAAACCCGAAAGCUAAAAUCCUAGCUUUCAAAGAACAAGCUUUGCUCUCUCUUGGUUUGGGAUGAUCAAUAUGGCUAAUGAACCUCUCUAUUUAUAAGAGAGUUCAAGGACAUAAUUGUCCAAAACUUUGGCAAAGAUUUGUGGUUGAAAAUGGACACCAACAACCAUCCACUAAUCCACUACCACCAACAACCCACUACCAACAACAACAAUCCACUACCAAUUUUAAGCCAUUUCUUAACAUUUUCCAAGUGCUUAAUUGGGACAAAGAGAUUGGAAAGCAUGGCUUGAACCUUGAAAGGUGAUAUCAUGUGUAACUCAGACCAUAUUUAUGUUUGAGUUCCUUGUUUUAGAAAAUGGAUAUAGCUGUUGCUUGCUGUUGACGAUUCUUAACCCAAAGUAUUAAUGCUUGCUCAGAUUAUUAACCCAAUGUUUAUUUCAUCAUCUUAAAGUUGCUUCCUGUUUGCUUCUACCUGCUAUUCAGCUGGUUGUGGGAAUUAGCCAUCCCUGGUGGAUUUCUCUGACAUUUUUCAUUGGAAGCUGUAUUAGGCUAGUGGAUUGGUCUUUGACUAGCAAUUUUCUAGGACUAUUCAGGUGAUUGCUUCUUGACUCUUUGUACAUUGUUCUAUUUCAUUUUCUUUGUCAAUGAAUUUGGUUUUAUCAUUGGUUAAUGUUUUUAGUAGCUUAUGUUCUGUUUCUUUUUUGUCAAGGUUGUGGAAGGCUCUCCAGUUUUAUGCAGGCUUCAGCAUUUUCAUGCUUUAUGUGUAUCAACUCCUUAUAGAGUUCUCAAGUAUGUUACAGUGGAUAGCUGAUUUUGUUGGUCUAUUCAAAAUAUGUUCAACAUCUGAGUGGACUGAAAUUUGCUCUUCUGUUUCUCUUGUACUUUAUUACAUCAUGGUAUGUACUAGUUUUAUUACUAUAGGUCUGAUUCUGUUUAAAGAUUUUAGCUGAACCUUUUAAUGAAAUGCAAUUCACUCUUCCCUCUUCCUAGAAUCUUAUAUUAUGAAAUUGACUUCAUUUGAGUCUUUCCUGUGUCUGACAUUUGUCUAUCUAAUAGUCUUUUCCCCAUAUUACUAAUUUAAGAUGGUUUGAAGUGUUUUCUUUCUAUAAGAAAAAUUUCCCGAACAGAUAUGAAGUAAUUAGUUGCAAACUAGACUUUGGAGAUUGAUGACAUUUUUGCCAUUCUGGAUGCAAUUUUUAUUCAAUUUGCUCAAUGAAAUUGCAAUUGAAAAUUUGAGAGCUUCCUAGUUAGAAACCACAUAUUUAUAUAAUAUAUGUUUUUAAUAGUUUUGAACAAGUUAAAUUAAUUAUAAAGAAAUAAUAUAAUUGAGAACAAGAUUAGAGCAGCUCGUUUGUACAUCUCAAUCUUAAUAUUAAGUGAUUGAUGACUCUAAGCUACUUAAAAACAAGAAGACAAUCAAUCUUCACUUUAAUUUGUAUGACGCAAAGUUUUUAAAACCAUUUCUAAGAACCGUUAAGAAAUAAUAGAUACAAGAUCUAAUCAAAACAUCAUGUAACGACCCAACCAAAACCCACCAAAGAGAUAUCCAAAAUCUCAAAUUUGGAAUUAAAGGUCAACGUAAACACAAAAUUCUCCAAAAGUAUUAUGAGUUCUAACCUUUUAAUGGGUAUAAUUUUUAAGGUUUUACAAUAGCCUAUUUACAUGCAAAAUUUGUAGCCCAAAUAAUAAUAAAAUAAUAUAAACUAAUCAAUGUUUAACUAAAAUAAAUAAAUAGAGUUUAGCUGAAAGAUUACCUCUCAAAUUUAAUCGAAAUAUGAGGCAAGGUAUCACUUCAAUGGUAUAAAGCUACAUAAAAUCUUAGUUAUGUCUUUGAAAUAUUUUCAUAAAGGCAUGUGCAAAAACUUUUUCAUUCUUAACAAAUUCAUUCCACUCAAUAUUAUUUAUUUAAAAUCAAAACCACAUUUAUUUUUAAACAACAUCUAAUAAUGUAUUUGGCUCAUCCAACAAUUUAUUUUUAAACGACAUUUAUUUAAAAAGAACCAAAUGAGAAUCAUUAUACAACUUCAUAAAGUCGAUGACACAUCCAACAUUUAAAGCACAAAGAAACUAGAUAGGCCAACAACAAAACAAUAAUGCCAACAUUCUCAAAUACGGCAACAAAUUUGUUCUAAAAACAAAAGUAAGCGCAUCGCACCUAGAGCGUAGAAAUACUUGAAUUCAAUCAUUGUAACAACGAAAAAGGAAACAAGACAUCCAACAUCCUCAUCACAAUAGAUUCUCCUUUGACCCGCCAACAGCGUUUGCAAUGCAAUAAAACAAAAAGAGGUUAUUGUGAUAGCAACUCUUAUAAAUAUUCCAAAAUUAACUUUUAGAUGCAUCAAGUCUUAAUCUAAGGGAAAGGGUUUAUCCAAACAUGAAAAAUCUAACCAACUCAAUUCAAUUCAACCCAACCUCAACCUAUCUAUAUAGUUUACUUUUAAUUUAUAUCUAAUUUCAAUUAUGGUUUAAAUUUAAAUAUUUUUUAACAAAAAUUUUAAAUACUUAAUAUUGAACAAAUAGCCAUAUUUAUGAAAAAAUUUGUAAUUAUGAACAUAACUUAACACAUAGGUAAAAGUAUUUUUUUUACUUAAUAAUAUUAUUAGCAAUAGUACGUUAUUAAUUGUAUAUGAAAAUAAUGAAGCUUAAAAAUUAAAAUUUAAAGACAAUGUCAUUGUCAAAUUUACUCAAUUUAUUUUUAACCAUAGUUACCUAUGUACAUAUGUGACACACAUAAUAAGAUGCUAAUAUAUAUAAGGCAAAAUAUUAUAAAGUUAAACGGUUAGAUAAUGAAGUGAAAUGUUUCUAACCUUAUGCAAUAUUUGAACUUGUUAUAGUAACAGUAUCCAAUGAUGUACUUGGCUCAUCAUUAGAGUUCUCACACCUAUGAACCUCCAUUGAUGUUUCAAGCGGCAGUUGAUGGAAUGGCUUAGGAGCCAUUUCAAGGAGUUCAACAUCAGAUUCAAGCAUCUUCAAAACUUUACUCAUUGAAGGACGAUCAGAAGGCAGUAAUUGUAUACACCAAAAGGCUGUUAUUACCAUUUUCUUUACCAUUGCUUUUUCAUCGUCAGAAACAUCUCCCAACUCCAAGUCAUCUCCUUGAUCUAAUCGGUCAUAAAUCCAAGAUGGAAAAUAUAUUUGACUAGUGUGGUCAGCAAAUGCAUUCACAUUCUUUCUCCUUCCAACUAUUUCCAUCAGUAACAUUCCAAAACUAUAAACAUCGGCUUUGUAUGAGAUGCCUCCAAGAUUUUUGUAAACCAAUUCAGGAGCAAUAUAUCCUAUCGUUCCUCGUGCCGCAGUGAGAGAGACAAUGCUAUUAUCUACUGAAUACAAUUUAGCAAGACCAAAAUCCGAAACUUUUGGAUUAAAAUUCUCAUCAAGAAGAAUAUUGUGUGGCUUGAUAUCAAAAUGUAGAAUUUGCAUGUCACAUCCUUGAUGUAAGUAGUGAAUUCCUUGAGCCACCCCAAGUACAAUAUCAAACAUUUUUUUCCAGCCCAAAGUGUUCUUAUUUUCUUCUGUAAAUAUGAUUUUAUCUAAAGAUCCAUUAGACAUGAAGUCAUAUACUAGAGCUUGCUUUGAUCCCUCCACACAAAAUCCGAUAAGUUUUGCCACAUUAGCAUGAUGAAUUGUCCCAAUGGAAGCAACUUCGUUUAUGAAAUCUUGGCCAUUACCUUUUGAUUUGCCCAACAAUUUUAUUGCCACAUGAUGGCCGCUACGAAGCUUUCCUUUAAACACUGAGCCAUAACCCCCUUCACCUAAUUUAUCUUUAAAAUUGUUAGUCAUUUUUUUAAUUUCUUUAAAAGAAUACCUUAAUGGCACUAGAUUAUUUUGGCUUUUAAGGAACUCUUCGAUCAUAUCAUCCAUGGAUAAAUGUCUUCUUCUCCAUUUGUACGUGACAAAAGCAAGCAAACAAAUGAUCCCAGGAAAUGACCUCAAGAUAACUCCACCUUUAAAGAAAUACAAUGUAACAUGUUGAAAUUAAUCACAUAAUAUAUAACUUACAUUCUCAGAAAAAAGGAUAUAGUGUGAUAGUUUUAUGUUAACUAGUAUUUGAGAGAGUGGCAUAUUUCACUAGUCUAUGGACUUAACCGAGAGUAGUCUGAAUUAUAUGCAUUGUUUUUGUCAUUAGCAGGUAUAUCUCAACAAAUUAAAAUUCAGAAUUUCAAACACAAAAGGAGUAAAUCGUGCAAAGUGGAUACCAAUUAUUCUAACCUCAAACAUUCCAAUAGAUUUGACAGGGUCAUGACAUUCAGCCAAAUUAACACAUUCGUAACCCCAUCCAAUUAGCAAAUUCUAAAGAAAGAACAUGAUUCUUAACCAUGAAGGAUACUCAACUGUUGUUUCUAUUCAUGCCAAAUAAACUUGAAGAAGGACAAAUUAAAAAUAUAAUAACCUUCAAAUUUCAUAAAUGAAACAAAAUCUAACCACCAAAAGAUGCAAGAGAACCCCCCAAAAAACAGAUUUGAUAAAUUCAAGAGCUAACUUUGUUGAAUGUUUUAGCAAAAUGAAUAUCCACCAAACUUAUAACCUGUGAAAGUUCUAAACAAUACCAUUAUGGAAACAAGCUUAACUAAAACUCUAACAUCUUUCUUAACUUGACAAAAAAUUUCUUUCAUAUAGAAGAAGAUUGUAUUCUGCAUUCAAACUCCGUAAAGAGUGUCAUAGCUUUCUUAGUUUUGUAGUGAAAUUAAAUAUAAACUUGUAUAAUAUGAUAGGCUCCUUAUUCUUUUUUUCCCCCAGAAUAUAGCUAAUAUUUGUUCUCAACUAGUGAAAAUGCAAAUCUGCAAAUCUAAAAUUAAAUAUACCUGUUAUUAGCAAACAGAGACGACAAGCUCCGAGCAAUCUGGAUUAUAUAUUCAACAAAUCAAAGUAAAAUUAAUAAAGGGGUGUAAAGGAAAAUUCCAAAUUUGUGUAAAAAAAUCAAUGGAAGGUAAUUUAAAACAUUAUAUUAUGUUUUGUGGUAUAUACUCAAAAAAAAAAUACAACAAUUCUUUACAUAUGUUUGCUUGUAAAAAGUAUGCAACAUGUAUUACAGUAUAAGAGUUUUUAGGUAACUAAAAUGAUUUAAUAUAAUCAAAGGUGAGACAAAUUUUAUUCAAAUUAAUUAAUCCAAAAAGUAUAUAUUAUUGCAUUAAAAAGAGUUUUUGCGAAAAAAAUAAACUCAUCCACAAUGGUGGAAUAUUUACGUACUACCAACUAAAUUGAAUAGACAUCAAAAAUAAAAAGAAAAUAAAAAGAUAGACAUAAUCAAAUAUAAUUGUCCAAAAAGAAGACAAAACAGCAGAGAAAGCAGAGGCAGAUACUAAAUUAGAAAUGCUUUUAGUUCAUUUGAUUGUUAGAUGUUGAUCAAUUUUAGAUGCAAAAUCAUCAUACUUAUUUACCAUCAUAAAAUUUAAUUGCCAAAAAAGUAACAUAAAAUAAAACAAAACAUAAAGUAGAUGUUGUAACUAAAAAUUCCAGUAUGAUGCACACUCAAAAUGCAAACUUUAAUUAUUAAAGAAACUUACAUUUCUUUCAACGAAACUUUGUUUUGGUAAUCGCAUCUUUUCCAUUCGACCCAAAAACCCUCUAAUAGUUUUUUGUAGAUAUCCAGCGUAGACAUGCCUAUUAUAUUAUCAACCAUAAUUGGAACCGCCGCUUCGAUAGUGCAAGCUUGAUUGAUAUAAGAUAGCUGGGUGUUUCCAUUUAAAAAAUAGAAAUGGGAAGUUGGCAGGGAAGAGGAGGUAUUGGAUUUGAUGGUACAACGAGAAGCCUCAAUAUAAAGUGACGAUUUUAUAGGUUUCGUGCAAUUCAUAACAUAAAUAAUGCUAUAAUCUAACCUUUUAUAACCAGAAAGAAAAUAAUUAUUAUUAUAAAAAAAAAAUUAUUAUUAUUUUUAUUAAUACCAUUAUAAGAAAAAUAAUCUACAGAAGUAAGAGGAAGGGAGUUGCAAUCAUCCGUGUCUAAACUCGCAUCGACCAUUCGUAUUGUAGAAUUUUCGUAAAAGAUUUGUUGGACAGAGAAUUUCCCUCCUCUCCCAACCAAAGUGGUGCGAUUAUUGUUCUCACACUCAAGUUCCAUGACAGGAGAACCACAGUGGGGAGGUUGGUUUUUUAAUCGGAAUGGAAAACUGAUAUUCAAAUUCCCACAGAAAGUAUAGCCGCAGUCUUGGUUAAUAAGACUCCUAGCAAAACAAACAGCAGGAAAUAGAACUACAAAUAAAGCAAAAGAGGGCAUUAGGUGACCCAACAAUGGCAGUUUUGCUUUUAAUUUUGGCAUGCUAAAAUUUUGGGUAGGGAAGAAGAACAACAAUGAGGGUUAACGAUUAAGUUUCUAACUAAACCAGGGAAAUAUAUAAGAAAGCUUCAGUGGGAGAACAAGCAUUAAUGGGGACAGAAGACUUUGACUAGUCUUCAGCUUUAUUUGGGAUGACUAUUUUAUUUUCAAUAAAUUGUUUACACCUUUUAUUCUUUUAUCUUUUUUCUGGGAAACACCUCAAUCAAAGCACAUCUAAUUCCAAGAAUAGAGCCAUGGUUAUCACAAGCAAAAAAAGGAAUUUUAAUAUUAUUCAAAAAAUUUUAAAUAAAUUUGGACCAUAUACUUGUAGAUCAACCGUUAUCACCUAAAUAAAUUCCAAUUACAAUGAGGAGGACCAAGACAAUGCAAGUCUUAAGUCUUCUUUGAAACACAAAAACAUCACUGCAAAAUAGACUUUUAGCGGCAUUUUUUAGGCCUAUAGCGGCGCUUUUAGGCGUCGCUGGAAAUAGAGCGUCGCUAAAACUAUUUCCGGCGCUUUCACAAGCACCACAAAAAUGCCGCUAUAAACAUCGCCGCUAAAUUUUGCGGCGUUUAUAUGAAAAAACGCCGCUAUAGAACAUGAUCUUUAACGACGCUUUUAUCACAAACGCCGCUAAAGAACAUGGCCUUUAGCAGCGUUUUUAUCACAAACACCGCUAAAGGUAAUAAUCUUUAGUGGCACUUUUAUCACAAACGCCGCUAAAAUAAUAUGAUCUUUAGCGGCGCUUUACCCACAAACGCCACUAAAGAUCAUUACCUUUAGCGGCGCUUUUAUAAAAAACGCCACUAGCUUUUAAAAAUAUUAAAUAUUAAAAAUCACACAUUAUUAAUAUUACAAAUUAAUUAGUAUUGGAUAUAUACUUCUAGUCAAAAAGAUGGUAUUUAAUCAUAUAAUAAAUUAAUAUUUUUUAGUCAAAAUAUUGAAAAAUCAUGUUAAUAUUUAAAUAGCAAAAUUACAAGUUCAAAUAGUGCAACUAAUUGAUUGGAAAAAAAAUGCACAAGUUCAAAAUGUGCAGUAAUAAACUUAAAAAUUUAUAGGCUAAAAUGGAAAUUACCUUUUGAAAUUAGACUAAAAUAGGUUUACUACAUUCACUAUUUACUACAUGGGUUUAUUGCUUCUAUAAACUCCAAUUAGGCAUUGAAACAGGGGUGUUUAUAUAUUACAAAAAAGCAUGAAAAAAUAGGAGUCCAUCUCCACACCUCAGAAACCAGGGCAAAUGCAUACCCCAACAUUGCCCUCGUAUUCAGCAUCCAUCUCCAGCUGCUUCGACGAAUACGGAACGAGAAUACAUGUUGCAAGUUCCGUAUUCUAAUGCAGUGGGUAGCUUGAUGUAUGCAAUGGUGUGUACAAGACCCGACAUUUCACAGGCAGUUAGUAUAGUGAGCAGGUAUAUGCAUAAUCCUGGAAAAGGACAUUGGCAAGCUGUGAAAUGGAUUCUACGGUAUAUUCAGAAGACCGUGGAUGUUGGAUUACUGUUCAAGCAGGAUAAUACACUUGGUAAAGGUGUUAUUGGGUACGUUGAUUCUGACUAUGCCGGUGAUUUGGACAAGCGAAGAUCAACCACCGGUUAUGUGUUUACACUUGCUGGAGGACCAAUAAGUUGGAAGUCUACACUACAGUCUACAGUUGCAUUGUCAACCACAGAAGCCGAGUACAUGGCUGUAACAGAGGCUGUAAAGGAGGCUGUUUGGUUAUAAGGUAUGGCUAAAACCUUGGGGUUGGUUCAGGAGCAUAUUAACGUGUAUUGUGAUAGUCAAAGUGCUAUUCAUUUAGCAAAGAAUCAAGUCUAUCAUGCACGUACAAAACAUAUCGACGUACGAUUCCAUUUUGUGCGAGAAAUUAUUGAAGAGGGGAAAAUUUGUCUUCAGAAGAUCAAGACUGCAGAUAAUCCCGCAGAUAUGAUGACCAAGGUGGUAACAGCAACCAAGUUCGAACAUUGUUUGAACUUGAUUAAUAUCCUGCAAGUUUAACAGUUGAAGAAGGCACUAUCAAGUAUUGUGGCUAGGAAAGACUUGGUAUUUAAGUGAUCUUCGUGAUCUACCUCUCUUUCCUGGGAAUUGAACUUAGUGUGAUUUUUCAGUACAAUAAUUUUACUCUUUCACACGCUUCCGCGCAACACACAAUCUUGGUUAAUAAGUUGCCUAGCAAGACAAACACCAGGGAAUAGAAUUACAAAUAAAGCAAAAUGGGGCAUUAGGUGGCCCAACAAUGGCAGUUUUGCUUUUAAUUUGGGCAUGCUAAAAUUUUGGGUAGGGAAGAAGAACAACAAUGAGGGUUAACGAUUAAGUUUCUAACUAAACCAGGGAAAUAUAUAAGAAAGCUUCAAUGGGAGAAGAAGCAUUAAUGGGGACAGAAGACUUUGACUACUCUUCAGCUUUAUUUGGGAUGAAUAUUUCAUUUUCAAUAAAUUGUUUACACCUUUUAUUCUUUUAUCUUUUUUCUGGGAAACACCUUAAUCAAAGCACAUCUAAUUCCAAGAACAGAGCCGCGGUUAUCUCAAGCAAAAGAAAAAGAAGAUUUUAAUAUUAUUCAAAAAUUUUAAAUAAAUUUGGACCAUAUACUUGUAGAUCAACCUUUAUCACCUUAAUAAAUUCCAAUUACAAUGAGGAACAAGACAAUGCAAGUCUUAAGUCUUCUUUGAAACACAAAAACAUUUAAGUGGCUGAGAGCAACAACUGUUAUUGCUUUGGUCCUUUUGUGUUAAGUAAGACAACAGUUUGUUGGAUAUUUCUAAAAAGCAAGUUCAUAGUUAGAACUGUCAAGCAAGGCGACUCAAUGCCCAAUUGUAUAGAUUUUUUUUUCUUCCACGAAUAAUACUUAACCACUUUUCAAAUAAUUUUAUUAAUAUAAUUACAUGUUUUUAUCCAUUCGACUGUGAUACUCGAACUUGACAACUAGUUAUAUUUUGGUUCCUAAACUUAAAAAAUAUGAAAGUUUUAUGAUGCAACUCUCUAAUAUUGUGCUACAUCAUCACUUGAAAAUUAAAAAAAAAAUUAUAUAAAUUUUUAGAGAAUGGCAUGAUACAAUCUCUAAGUGUCACGUUCAUUAUUUUAAUAAUCAAGUUGAUGAUUGAACCAGUCAGACCACUAUUACUCGAUUCAAUUAGUUUGAUCAGUUCGACUGCUAGACCAACAAUAAUUAAAUAAAUCAUUAAACAUUCAUAAAAUUCUAAAAAGGUAGAAAACAAAAUUUAUUAAACUGAUUAAACAUGGUCAACAGCUGGGGUUUUUUUAAAAUUUUUUUAAUUUUUACCAAUUUCAAGUAAUUUUUAUAUUUAAUUGAUUCAACAUCUUUGUUCAAACUAUUAUACCGAUCGAUUCUCGGUCCAAUCAAUCUAACCAUCCAAUCCACUCCUAUACUAGUAACACUAAUCAUAUUAUCAAAUCUUGAUGGAAUUCAAGUUUAAGUUUAAGGGACUAUAGUAGACUUAGCUGCCAAGUUUAGAUAUCAAAGUGGACCAAAAUUUUCGCUUAUUUUAAAGAGAUCUUAUUUUUCUAAAAGUUUUUACUCUUUUUUUUAAUUACUAUAUAAUUUGUACUAAUUAUUUAAAACAUGUGUUAAAUCAUUUUUAACCAUACUCAAAACCAUUUUUUUAAUCAAAUAUAAGUACUUAAUAUUUAAUUAAAUUAAAAAGAUCAAAGAGAUAAAUUUCAAAAUUAUAUAUGAACUUUAAUUUAAUGUACUGCAAUUGUAUAUAUGAAUUUUAAUUUGGUGCAAUUAUACACUUGUAACUCUAAUUGUGGUUCAAAUAUAUACUUUAAACUUUAUAUAUACAAUUACACAUUAAACCAUAGUGUAUGUAUACAUAAUUCAUAAGUUGUACAUAAGAAGUAAGUUUUGGUUAGUGUAAUAUAACUGUGAUUCAAGAUUACGCAUUCAUUUCAGACAAAGCACACCCUUUGAAAUUCAAGUUUUGAUUCUGAUUCUUUCUUCUUCUUUUUUUAAUAAAACCUCUAUGAAAGAAUUUUUUUUUUAAUUCCUUAACGGUAGUGAUUUUGGGUUAUGGAGAAAAAAGGAGUGAAAAGUUGUGAUUUAUGUGGAAGUAGGGAUUUUUCUGUUUUAAUAGUUUUAGAAAUGGAUUUGAUGGAGAUUUCAAUAAUGCUUCAUGUUGGAUUAGUUUUGUUGCUACUUUGGAUGCUUUCUCAAUUCAAUCUUUGCCAUCCACUUCCUUAUUUCCUGUCUCUCAUCUACCUCUAUUUGGCAAUUCAUUCAUCUUCUGCUGAGAAUAAAAAAUGAAACUUUUUUUCUUUAUUUUUGAGCUUGGAUAUUGAACUUUUUUUUUAUUGUUUUUGUUACAGAAAUUCCUUUUAUUUCUUUGUUCAUCAAAGGUUCAUGAAAUGUAUGUGACGAGAUUGAGGAAGAAAUUGGAGUUGGAGGAAAUAAUGCACAAAGAAACUAGACAUGUCAACAACAAAACAAUAAUGCCAACAUUCUCAAAAGCAACAACAAAAAUGUUUUAAAAAAGGAAAUAGACAUCACACUUAGAGUAUAGAAAUACUUGGAUUGUAACCAUGAAAAACGAAAUAAGAUAUCCAACAUCCUCAUCACAAUGGAUUCUCCUCUGAUUCAUUACUAGCCUCUGCAAUGUAAUAACACGAUUAAAAGUUAUUGUAGCAGUAACUCUUAUAAAUAUUAAAAAACUAACUUGUAAAUACAUCGAUCAUGUCUAAAUCUAAUCUAAGUCAAGGUUGAUCUAAACAUGAAAAUUCUAACAAAUUCAUCUCAAUUCAGUCCAACUAAACCUAAACUAAAUUGACACAAAAAUCUAUUUAUAUAAUUUACUUUUAAUUUAUAUAUAACUUUACUUAUGAUUUAAAUUUAUACAUUUAAUAUUGAACAAAUAGUCAAAUUAAAAAAUUUUGGUAAUUAUGAACAAUAACUUAAGACAUAGGUAAUUAAAGAAAAUACUAAUAUAUAUUUAUAUUUAUAUAUAAGGCAAAAUAAUAUAAAGCUAAAAAGUGAGAUAAUGAAGUAAAAUGUUUCUAACCUUAUGCAAUAUUUGAAUUCGCUAUAGUAACACUAUCCAAUGGUGUACUUGGCUCGUUAUUAGAGUUCUCACAAUUAUGAACCUCCAUUGAUGUUUCAAGAGGAAGUUGAUGGAAUGGCUUAGGAGUUCAACAUCAGAUUCAAGUAUCUUCAAGAUUUUACUCAUUGAAGGGCAAUUAUUAUCUUCUUCACCGUUACUUUUUCAUCGUCAGAAAUAUCUCCGAACUCCAAGUCCUCUCCUUGAUCCAAUCGGUCAUAAAUCCAAGAUGGAAAAUAUAUUUGACUAGUGCGGUCAGCAAAUGCAUUCACAUUCUUUCUCCUUCCAACUAUUUCUAUCAAUACAUUCCAAAACUAUAAACAUCGGCUUUGUAUGAGAUGCCUCAAUAUAAAGUGAUAAUUUUAUAAAUUUCGUGCAAUUCAUAACAUAAAUAAUGCUAACCUCUAACCUUCCAUCAUAAUAAUUACCAUAAGGAUAAAUAUAAGAAUAAGAAUCUACAGAAGUAAUUAAGAGGAAGGGAGUUGCAAUCAUCCGUGUCCAACAAUCAACCCCUCCCAUAGUAGGCUGUCGAGGAGCCUCCUGCACAUCAUAAAUAGCACGAGUUGUACGCCCCAAAGCAUUUGCCAAGGACCAUCAAGACGAAGGUCAAUAACAUUUGUGUAAAUUUGGAGUGCUACCUUACAGCCAAAACUAACAGAAUAGUGACUGCUGUUUGGAUUGAAAUGUCAAAUGAGUCAGUUCGGAGUCGGAUACAAGCAAAGUAGCAUUCGAAGCAUCCGUUGCGCAUCAUAGGGGAUAGAAGACCUUGAGUUACAUGAUUUCAUUUUGAGUAUUGAAAAUUGAAAAUAGGAUAACUACCAACCACUAAUAUAUUAUCAGCAAAAUCUCCCAAUUGAAAGAACAAAAGAUGCAUCUAUACUAUGUUUAAAAGUUUAAUAGAGUUUAUGGUUAUCUAUCAAUGAGGUAUCAACUCAAUUGUAAAAUCAUUAAAAUCUUAUUAUUUUUAAAAACAAAAAAUAUUAUUUUGAAGGUAUUUUUAUUUUUAAUUAAACUUUAUAAAAUACAUCAAUUUAAUAGAAUUUGAACCCAAAACAUCAUAAUCCUUAUUACCUAAAUUUUACCAUAUUAAACAAAGCCACAUUUAGCUUUUAUAUCAUUUUUUAAAUAAGCUUGUUAUAUCAUUUUUUUUCACCCAUGUGAGGGUGCCAUAAUCUAAUAUAUCUUUAUUUAAUAAGUAAUAAUCCCAUAUGCAUUAGAGAGUAUUAAGUUGAGUUAUUAAAUUUAGGGUUUGUUAUAUUCUAACGAGUUAUUUUCAAUUCCAUUGAAAUGAUUUAUAGGUGAUAAAUUUUACAAUUUAAUACGAUUAAUUUUAUUAUAUUACAAUGAAAAACAAAAGAAAAAGAAGAAUUUAAUAUGGUUCAAAGUUUUUAAAUAAAUCUGGACCAGACAAACCUUUACCAUUAAUCUAUUCCAACUUCAAUGAGAACGACCACGACGAUGCAAGUCUCAAGUCCUGUUUGAAACGCAAAAGCUUUCAAGUGGUUGAGAGCAGCAAGCCCGAUCCCUUUUGUCCGUUUGUGUUAUGUAAGUCAAUUGUAGAGAACGAUUGUUGGAUAAUUCUAAACGCAAGUUAAUAGUUAGAAUCCUUGAGCAACGCACAUUCCGCCCCAACCCAUGCAUAACGUUAGACGAGACUCAAUGACUAAUUGUAUAUAUUUUUAAUUUUGUUCAACAACUACAUAAGUAUAUUUUUAAAUGAUUGUUAAUAUAAUUACAUGUAUUUUCAUCUAUUUUAUAUGAAUUUAAAAUAUUACAAAUUAAAUAUAAUAUAAGAUACAAGUUCUAUUCAAUUAAAUUUAAAUUUAAAUUCAAAAUUUAAAUUAUCCAACAAUAUAAAUAGUAGACAUAAAUUCAAAGAAAAAAAUUUAGGGUUUAGCUGGAAGAUUACCUCUCAAAUUCGACUAAAAUAAAUAAACAGAAUUUAACUCGGAGAUUACCUCUCAAAUUUAACUGAAAUAUGAAACAUACUCAAUAAUAAAGGUAACAAUUCAAAGGUAUGAAGCUACAUAAAUUCUUAGUUAUGUCUUUGAAAUAUUUUCAUAAAGGCAUGUGCAAAAACUUUUUGAUUCUAAACAAAUUCAUUGUCUCAAUAUUACUUAUUUAAAAUCAAAUCCACGUUUAUUUUUAAACAACUUCCAACAAUGUAUUUGGCUUGUAAUACCCAAUUUUAGCUCGGGCUCACAUAUGGAAACAUAAUCUUCAAGGAUAUGUAAUCUUAGAUAUGAUAUGUGCAAUCUUGGAUAUGAUAUGUGCAAUCUUGGAUAUGAUAUGCAAUCUUAGAAGAUAUGAUUUUGUAAUAUUAGAGAUUUAAUUUGUAGAUACCCUUUAAUCUUAGCCGUUGAUGUAAUUGGUCUGUACCGUUGGAUUUGGGGAGGCUCAACUAUAAAUAGAGGCCUCUCCCUUUAUUGUAAAGGGGGGAGAAAAAACAAUAAAAAAGGGAGAACGAUUGGCAGUUUUUUAAAGGUGACUUACUGUUUUUUUUUCAAUUAUUUAUUUAUGAUUUUAAAAAAGGAAGAAGGUGAUACCACUACGAAUUUUAUUUAUUUAUUUUUAUUUAGCCCUAAUAAAGUGACGCGUUUCAAAGGAUGGGAAUAUUUUUCCAUUCGAGGCCUAUGAGUUAUUCGCGCCUUUUAAUUGGGCCCUACAUUUUUUUCCCUUUAAUUAUGUUUUUGUUGCAAUUUAAUCCCUUUUGUAUUUGUGCUUUUACUAAUUAAUUGAUUAUUAUUAUUAUUUAUUAAUCCUAUUAUUAUUUCUACUAUUAUUGUUAUUAUUAUUUUCAUUAUUUCUUCUUAUCAAUUUACUUAAAUUUCAUGCGCAUAGCUUUAUCUUACUUUGUAUUUUAAUUUAUAUUACUAUUAUAUGUCAUUAUUUAAUUUUAUAAUAUAUUUUUCCUAUUCCUUUUAUAUAUUUGCCUCCAAAUAUGGUAUAUCUUCAACGAUUUUGGUUUUAUUUUUUAUUCAUUUAAAUAUAUUUCUAUAUUUUAAUAGAUUUAUAUAAUAAUAUUUUUUUACAAUACCAUGCUUUGUAUAUAUACAUGAUUGAUAUUAAAUUAUUCUUGUUAUAAAUUAUAGAUUUCAUUUUCGUCUUAUUACCAUAUAUAACUUUCCUCUUAAAAAACUAUUUUAUUAUAUUUUACCUAUUUUAUUGUAUUUCGUUUACUUCAAAUUCUUUUUACAUAUAUUAUUGUAUAUUAUUAUAAAGUCUUCUACUUUUCUAAAUAUACGUAUUUUACAUAUAUCACUUUUUUUCCCUAUUUAUUGCCAAUAUGGUGCAAGAUUGUUGUACUUGUUAUUGCGACAUUAUUACACACAUUCAGUAUCACAUUACAUCAUCUUCUUAUUCAAAUUUAAAAAAAAUAGGAAUUUUAAAAAUUGAGAUAAUGCUCGUAUUUAGGAUUUUCAAGGAAAUUGAGCCCUAACGUACAUUGGGUUUCGAUUUUUUUUGUUAAAUCUAACGAUCGAGAGUUGCUCAUUAAUCAUAAAAAAAAUAAAAUGAAAAGCUUGUUGUCGGGAAUUUAAUAUGUUGUGUCCUAACGUAUUGGAUGUGAUGUAUUUUUUUCUCGAUACAAAGAUUUUUUUUUAAAUAAUAACAAAGGAAGUAUUCCAAGUUUAGGAUUUUGAGAAAUUGUGCCCUAACGUAUUGGCCCGCGAUUUCUUAAAUCUUAAACAAAUGAAUAUUCUUUUAAAUUUUAUCGCUCGAGUAUUUUGGCCUAAUUCAUUUUUGAGGGAUUAGAAUGUCGUGCCCUAACGCAUUGGGUGUGACAUUUUUUUUCCUCCGAAAUGAUAAGAGUCUUAAUAAGUAACGUUUUUAAGUUUUUGCUAAGGAUUAUAUUUUUCAAAAUUUUUGACAUUAAGACACUAAUUAAUUAACUAGGUACCAAUUUUAGGCGUUACGAGGGUGUUAAUCCUUCCUCGUACGUAACCGACUCCCGGAUCCAUUUUUCUAAAACUCGUAGACCAAAUCUAUUUUUUUAGGUGAUCCAAUCACACCUCAAUAAAAUAUUGGUGGCAACUCCCAAUUUUUUGUUUUUUAAAAGUCGACAAAUAAAUUUUUGUUUUUCAAAAAAAUGGUUUCGACAUGGCUCAUCCAACAAAUUAUUUUUAAACAACAUUUAUUUAAAAAGAACCAAAUGAGAAUCAUUAUACAACUUUAUAAAGUCGAUGACACAUCCAACAUUUAAAGCACAAAGAAACUAGAUAGGCCAACAACAACAAAAAUAAUACCAACAUUCUCAAAUAUCGCAACAAAUUUGUUCUAAAAACAAAAGAUAGCGCAUCUCACCUAGAGCGUAGAAAUACUUAGAUUCAAUCAUUGUAACAACGAAAAAGGAAACAAGACAUCUAACAUCCUCAUCACAAUUGAUUCUCCUCUGACCCUCCAACAGCGUCUGCAUUAAUGCAAUAAAACAAGAAGAGGCUAUUGUGAUAGCAACUCUUAUAAAUAUUCCAAAAUUAACUUUUAGAUGCAUCAGGUCUUAAUCUAAGGCAAAGGGUUUAUCCAAACAUGAAAAAUCUAACCAACUCAAUUCAAUUCAACCCAACCUCAACCUAUCUAUGUACUUUACUUUUAAUUUAUAUGUAAUUUCAAUUAUGGUUUAAUUUAAAUAUUUUUUAACAAAAAUUUUAAAUACUUAAUAUUGAACAAAUAGCGAUAUUAAUGAAAAUUUGUAAUUAUGAACAAUAACUUAACACAUAGGUAGGUAAAAGUGUUUUUUUUUUACUUAAUAAUAUUAUUAGCAUUAGUACGUUAUUAAUUGUAUAUGAAAAUAGUGAAGCUUAAAAGUUAAAUUUUAAAGGUAAUGUCAUUGUCAAAUUUACUCAAAAUUUAUUUUUAACUAUAGUUAUCUAUGUACAUAUGUGACACACAUAAUAAGAUGCUAAUAUAUAUGUAAGGCACACUACACCAAAACAGGUUUUUAGCGGCAUUUUUUUAUGCCUUUAGCGGCGCUUUUUAGCGUUGCUAAAAGUAUUUGUGGCGUUUUUGGAAGCGCCGCAAAAAAUGCCGCUGUUCUCAACGCCGCAAACGUUUGUGGCUUUUUUAUAAAUAAACGCCGCUAUAGAUUAAGACCUUUAGCGGCGCUUUUUCAACAAACGCCGUUAUAGAUCAGGAUCUUUAGCGGCGCUUUUUUACAAACGCCGCUAUAGCUCAAGACCUUUAGCGGCGCUUUUUCAAAAAACGCUGCUAUAGAUUACGACCUUUAGCGGCGUUUUUUUCACAAACGCCGCUAUAGCUCAAGACCUUUAGCGACGCUUCUCGCAAAAACGCCACUAAAAACAUAACAUUUAAAAAAAGUAUUUUAAUCAAAUAAUAUUUAUUUUUAUGAUAAAUAUUAUAUUAUGUUUUAUUUUUUAAAUUUGAACUUUAAAUAUACUUUUAAGGAUAAAAAGUAUUAUUUAAUAGAAAAUUUUAACUUUAAAACUAAAUAUAAAAAUUAAUGAAUUUAGUUUUAGAAUUUAAAAUAAUAAAUUAAUAACACAAUUAAAAUCCAAAAGUUAGAACUCAAGUUGUCGUAAAUAUUAAAGUAAUAUUUACACAUUGCAAGGUAAUAAAAAAUACAAUGCAUUUUCUUAAUCAAGUAAAUCUUGGUAAUAAAAAAUACAAUGCAAACUACAUCUGCUACAUUCCUGGUUAUCCAAUCUUCAUGUACCCUGCAGAAUUGGGAAAAUAAUUAUAGUGCAUUAAAACAAAAAUUGAUAUUGACAAGUUAAAUGUGAAAGGAAAACAACAUGAAUGCAAAAAUUAAUACUCGAGGAAAUUGACAACUUAGCUAUCUCAACCAUGGAAAUGAAUUAGAUAUUGAAUAAGAGAGAUUACAGCAAUGAAACCAAUGAAUUCCUAGUUUACAUAUGUAUGUGCCACUGGACUUGUUAAGUGAAGAAUGAGAACCAAAUUUUUUUCAAUGACUACAGGACAUAAGACCAAGAGCAUCAAAAGUUUCCAAACAUGAAACAACUAAUCUAUUAAGCAAGUCAGAAAAUCAACGAGCUUAUUGUUUUAGCUAAUAGUGGAACAAGGAGACAAUUGAGAUCAAUUGAGACUAACCUCGGCUGAGAUGCAGAAGUUUCACGACAAUCAGAAAAGAUCACCUUGAUAUACUUAUAAUCUUCGCACCAUAAAUAAUCAAAGUAAUAAUCAUCGAUAUUAUUCACCUUGUUGCCUAACCUCACAUAAUAAUCAAAAUAAAUUUUAAAACCGCUCAAAAAUUUUAAAUAGAUUACAUCAACAUAUAUUGAGCAUAGCAACCUUCUAAAGAGAAAAUCAAACAAAUCAACUAAACGAACAUAGAAAAAUUGAUGCUUCAAACCAAAACACCAGAAUUUACUUUACCUCCAUCCCAUGGGGUGUCAUCAAGUCUGCAAAUCCAUCAAGUAAAGACAUUAGCACAAUUUAAUAGAACUUUAAUCUAAAAAGAAAGUACAUAAAGAUUCUCUAGUCUUAUUUCAUAAUAUACCCAAAUAUAACAGCAUUCCAAAGCAUAAUGUUGUUAUCUUGAGGUGCACCACUAAUUCCUGCACAAAAUAAAUGAUAAAAAAGGCCACAGUUCUUUAGCAUAAACAGCAAACAAAUUAGAUGAAAACCGGACUUCUACAACUAAACCGAGUUGUAGUAACAGUAUCCAAACGCCGCUAAAAGCCUGUUUUGGUGUAGUGGCAAAAUAUUAUAAAGUUAAACAGUGAGAUAAUGAAGUGAAAUGUCUCUAACCUUAUGCAAUUUUGAACUUGUUAUAGUAACAGUAUCCAAUGAUGCACUUGGCUUAUCAUUAGAGUUCUCAUAGCUAUGAACCUCCAUUGAUGUUUCAAGAGGAAGUUGAUGGAAUGGCUUAGGAGACAUCACAAGGAGUUCAACAUCAGAUUCAAGCAUCUUCAAAACUUUACUCAUUGAAGGACGAUCAGAAGGCAGUAAUUGUAUACACCAAAAGGCUAUUAUUACCAUUUUCUUUACCAUUGCUUUUUCAUCGUCAGAAACAUCUCCCAACUCCAAGUCCUUUCCUUGAUCUAAUCGGUCAUAAAUCCAAGAUGGAAACUAUAUUUGACUAGUGUGGUCAGCAAAUGCAUUCACAUUCUUUCUCCUUCCAACCAUUUCCAUCAGUAACAUUCUAGAACUAUAAAUGUCAGCUUUGUAUGAGAUGCCUCCAAGAUUUUUGUAAACCAAUUCAGGAGCAAUAUAUCCUAUCGUUCCUCGUGCCGCAGUGAGAGAGACAAUGCUGUCAUCUACUGAAUACAAUUUAGCAAGACCAAAAUCAGAAACUUUUGGAUUAAAAUUCUCAUCAAGAAGAAUAUUGUGUGGCUUGAUAUCAAAAUGUAGAAUUUGCAUGUCACAUCCUUGAUGUAAGUAGUGAAUUCCUUGAGCCACCCCAAGUACAAUAUCAAACAUUUUUUCCAGCCCAAAGUGUUCUUAUUUUCUUCUGUAAAUAUGAUUUUAUCUAAAGAUCCAUUAGACAUGAAGUCAUAUACCAGAGCUUGCUUUGAUCCCUCCACACAAAAUCCGAUAAGUUUUGCCACGUUAGCAUGAUGAAUUGUCCCAAUGGAAGCAACUUCAUUUAUGAAAUCUUGGCCAUUACCCUUUGACUUGCCCAACAAUUUUAUUGCCACAUGAUGCCCACUACGAAGCUUUCCUUUAAACAAUGAGCCAUAACCUCCUUCACCUAAUUUAUCUUUAAAAUUUUUAGUCAUUUUUUUAACUUCUUUAAAAGAAUACCUUAUCGGCACUAGAUUAUUUUGGCUUUGAAGGAACUCUUCAAUUGUAUCAUCCAUAGAUAAAUGUCUUCUUCUCCAUUCGUACGUGACAAGAGCAAACAAACAAAUUAUCUCAGGAAAUGACCUCAAAAAGAUAACUCCACCUUUAAAGAAAUACAAUGUAACACGUUGAAAUUAAUCACAUAAUAUAUAACUUACAUUCUCAGAAAAAAGGAUAUAGUGUGAUAGUUUUAUGUUAACUAGUAUUUGAGAGAGUGGCAUAUUUCACUAGUCUAUGGACUUAAUCGAGAGUAGUCUGAAUUAUAUGUUAUGUUUUGGUCAUUAGCAGGUAUAUCUCAACAAAUUAAAAUUCAGAAUUUCAAACACAAAAGGAGUAAAUCAUGCGAAGUGGAUACCAAUUAUUCUAACCUCACACAUUCCAAUAGAUUUGACAGGGUCAUGACAUUCACCCAAAUUAACACAUUCGUAACCCCGUCCAAUUAGCAAAUUCUAAAGAAAGCACAUGUUUCUUAACCAUGAAGGAUACUCAACGGUUGUCUCUAUUCAUGCCAAAUAAACUUGAGGAUGGACAAAUUAAAAAAUUAAUUAAACUGAAUUUUAGUAUUUUUAUUUUAAUAAUUUAUUUAAUCAAUAAGAUUAAUUAGAAUUAGAGGUGUUCAUGGGCCGGGCGGCCCGGCCCGGCCCGGUCCGGUCCAACAGCCCGUCCGAAAUAUGGGAGGGUUUGGGUAAAAAUAUAGGCCCGAAAUAUGGGCUUGGGCAAAAAAACGAGGCCCGAUUAAAAAACGGGCCGGGCCUCGGGCACAACUUUUUUUGGCCCGGGCCUGGCCCGGCCCGAAUAUAAUAAAUAUUUUAUUAUUUUUUUAAUUUUAAAAUACUUUAAAAAUACUUUUAUUAAAUUUUUUAAAUUUUAAAAUUUUUUUAAAAUGCUUUUUUAAUUUUUUUAAUUUUAAAAUAUUUUUAAAAUACUUUUUUUAAUUUUUAUUUUAAUUUUUAAAAUAAAUUUUUGGUAUUUAUUUAAAAAAUAGGAUAGGCCCGGGCUACAAAAUUUUUUCCUGGGCCCGACCCGAACCCGACCCAUGAGCACCUCUAAUUAGAACAAUGAACCAAUGAUUUAAAUUUCAUCAUAAUCUAACUCUAAAAAUUGUGGAUUUGAGCGCUCCCAAAUUUUCCUUCGCUUUCUCUCUCUCUCUGUUCUUCAACAUCGUGUUUAGAUCCGUCCCUCCCAGCCUUGAAAGAUUCCGUCUUUGACCCUUCUUCGUUGAAUCUAUCAAACAAAUUAGGGUUCCGAUCUGUUACCUGUUGUGUUCGUUUAAAAUUUUUUUUUCUUUGCCUCAAAAUUUCAUCUUCAGAAAGAGAGAGAGAGAGAGAGAGUUUUCGAUUUUCCUUGAUUUUGCUUGAGAUUUAUGUUCUAAUCUGAAAUUCAUUACCUUAAUGAUUUGCUAUAUCGGUUCGAUCUCCAUUACGAUUGCUUGCUUUUUGUAUCGGAUUUGGGGUUAAAUCCAAGCUUGCGUGUUUUUACAUUAAAUCAGUAACCAUCGGCUCAAACUCUACCCCUCUUUCUAUCUGGAAAAUUUUUACAUUAAAACAAACGGAGUUUGAAAGUUAAAAAUUGACAUUCCAUUGAGUUUAAGUUUGAAAGUUUGGCUCAACUCACCGAUUACAGCCGCUUACAUGAAGUAGAAGCCCUUAUUACAUCAAUACAUCUGUGUGUGUGUUUUUUUCCGCUUCCUCUUCUUUCUUUUGGCCUUUUUUUUCCUCUAAAAGCCGCACCUACAGCUUACUCCGUUCCCUGACAUUUGCCCUUAAAAUUACACUGAAAAUGCCCACAUGUUCCCCAAACUUCAUAUAUUACUCAAGUUUCGAUUCCUUGUCUCCGCAUCGAACCGCCACUUUACACAGUCAAACUCUGUGUUACGAAUUACCGCCUGCGCCACCUAUUGGACGAUAUGCCCAAACCAAGUUGAAAGCCCGAAUGAAGAAGCUAUAGAGCAUCCGAGAGUCUCCAUCGAUAUUUUCAACCAAUGGGGUUGCUGUGAAAACGAUUUGUUGAAGAUCUUUUCACGCCAACCUUCUUUGCGCAACGCUCAAGCUACUCCCCUUUUAUCCAAACUCAACUUGCUGAGUAGCUUGGGACUCACCGGUUCCGACAUUGUCAAGAUGGUCAAUUGUCGUCCUCGUUUCUUUUGUUCUCGUAUCAAUAAUUGCUUCGACGAGCGGAUUGAGUUCCUCGUUAACCUGUUCGGGUCGCGAGAAAUGCUUCGUAAAGCACUUGUUAGGAACCCUUCCCCCUUGACCUAUGAUUUUCACAAUGCCAUGAAACCAGUCAUUGCAUUGUACGAAGAGAUUGGCAUUAGAGGAAAUGAUUUGAUUGCUAUGCUCAUCUCACGUCCCACAUUGAUCCCAAGGACUUCUUUCAAUGAGGAGAAGAUGGAAUACAUAAAGAAAACAGGGGUUUCAAAAGGUUCCAAAAUGUACAAGUACAUAGUUUCACUCAUCGGAAUAUCGCGGAUCGAGACUAUACGUGAAAAGGUGACUAACUUGGAGAAAUUCGGAUGUUCAGAGGAAGAGAUUUGGAGUUUGUUGGGACGUUAUCCUCUUAUUUUGACACUUAUUUUGAAACUCUCGGUUGAUAAGGUUCAAAGGAACAUGACCUUUGUUUUGGGAACCAUGAAGCUGUCUCCAAGAGUGGUGCUUGAGCACCCCUUUUCUUGUUGUUCAGCAACCUCGAAGCCGUAUCGAAACCGCGGAUAUCGUUGGCUAGGAAACUAAAGGAAAUGGAGCUUGAUCCGCAGAUUAAAGGACCGAUCAUGUUGGCGGCAUUGAGGAUGACGGAAAAUCGAUUCUUGAAUGUGUUUAUUAAAUGCCAUCCGCAAGAUGUAGCAAAUGAACUGUUGGAGUUCUAUAAACAUGCCAAAGGUCUCAAGCCAUUGGCCGAAUCAUCGAAAAAAAUACUGCGUAAAGGAUUUCCAUUUUGAACAUUUUCGUUUGUUUGUUUGGUGCUGUCUUCGUUUUCUUUUUGUUCAUUCAUGCCAAGGGAUAUUUCGAUUAAAUUUUCAGAUUUAUAACUUUUAUUCUCAAAGGGAUAAUGUGAGACUCAAAAUUUUGGGAUAUAAAAAGGGAUGCCUCUUCGUGUUUCAUUGGUGUUCUCUCUCUGCUUAUAUUCCUUUUACUCCCCGUGAUGAAGAGUUGAAAUUUUUUCUAUGUAUGAUGGCUGGAGGGAAUAUAGAUUAUGGAACUCCACCAUUAUUAACUUUGUAGGCUCAAUUGGCACCAUUGUUGUGGUGCAACUAGAAAUAUGUGGGUUAAAACGUGUUUAAAGGCGUAUUUUCUUUUUAUUUAAGAGUUUAAAGGAGAUUAUAAUUUGUGAACAGUAAUUUUUUAAGGUAAAUCUUAUUCUAUAUAUUUUGACCGAUGAUUAUUUUUAUCCUUAAUAUAAAUUUGUGUUAAUUUUGGUUUGGAUGAUGUUUAUUAUUAUUUUUAAUUACUUUUCAAUGCGGAUAAAAUCUUGCACCAAUUAAAAUUCAUAUAUUAUUAUUAAAAAAGAUAAAUAAACAAAUUAAAUCUUUUUAAACUUCUUAUUUAUUUUCAAAGUUUAUUAAAUAGUAUUAUUUUAUUUUAUAUAAUUAAUGUAAAGUAAUAUAUGGGGCAAAAUAAUAUAAAGCUAAAAUGAAGUGAAAUGUUUCAAACCUCAUACAAUAUUUGAACUUGUUAUCGUACCAAUAUCCAAUGAUUUACUUGACUCAUCAUUAGAGUUCUCACAUGAUGUUUCAAGAGGAAGUUGAUGGAAUGGCUUAGGAGGCAACUCAGGGAGUUCAACAUCAGAUUCAAGCAUCUUCAAGACUUUACUCAUUGAAGGAUGAUUAGAAGGCAAUAAUUGUAUACACCAAAAGGCAGUUAUUCAUCUUCUUCACCAUUACUUUUUCAUCGUCAGAAACAUCUCCUAGCUCUAUGUCCUCUCCUUGAUUUAAUCGGUCAUAAAUCCAAGAUGGAAAAUAGAUCUGACUAGUGUGGUCAGCAAAUGCAUUCACAUUCUUUCUCCUUCCUACCAUUUCCAUCAGUAACAUUGCAAAACUAUAACCAAUUCAGGAGCAAUAUAUCUUAUCGUUCCUCGUGCCGCAGUGAGAGAGACAAUGCUAUCAUCUACUGAAUACAAUUUAGCAAGACCAAAAUCGGAAACUUUUGGAUUAAAAUUCUCAUCAAGAAGAAUAUUGUGUGGCUUGAUAUCAAAAUGUAGAAUUUGCAUGUCACAUCCUUGAUGCAAGUAGUGAAUUCCUUGAGCCACCCCAAGCACAAUAUCAAACAUUUUUUUCCAGCCCAAAGUGUUCUUAUUUUCUUCUGUAAAUAUGAGUUUAUCUAAAGAUCCAUUAGACAUGAAGUCAUAUACCAGAGCUUGCUUUGAUCCCUCCACACAAAAUCCAAUAAGUUUUGCCACAUUGGCAUGAUGAAUUCUACCAAUAGAAGCAACUUCAUUUAUGAAAUCUUGGCCAUUACCUUUUGACUUACCCAACAAUUUUAUUGUCACAUGAUGCCCGCUACGAAGCUUUCCUUUAAACACUGA